rnacentral:rRNA from 1 species
GAUGAACGCUAGCGGGAGGCCUAACACAUGCAGGCCGAGCGGUAGAAAGUAGCUUGCUACUUUUGAGAGCGGCGUACGGGUGCGGAACACGUGUGCAACCUGCCUUUAUCUGGGGAAUAGCCUUUCGAAAGGAAGAUUAAUGCCCCAUAACAUAUUGAUUGGCAUCAAUUAAUAUUGAAAGCUCCGGCGGAUAGAGAUGGGCACGCGCAAGAUUAGCUAGUUGGUGAGGUAACGGCUCACCAAGGCGAUGAUCUUUAGGGGGCCUGAGAGGGUGAUCCCCCACACUGGUACUGAGACACGGACCAGACUCCUACGGGAGGCAGCAGUGAGGAAUAGUGGACAAUGGGUGCAAGCCUGAUCCAGCCAUCCCGCGUGAAGGAUGACGGCCCUAUGGGUUGUAAACUUCUUUUAUACAGGGAUAAACCUACUUACGUGUAAGUAGCUGAAGGUACUGUAUGAAUAAGCACCGGCUAACUCCGUG